AUGAACGCUGGCGGCGUGCCUAAUACAUGCAAGUCGAACGCGAGCAGCAAUGCUCGAGUGGCGAACGGGUGAGUAAUACAUAAGUAACCUGCCCUAGACAGGGGGAUAACUGCUGGAAACGGCAGCUAAGACCGCAUAGGUAUGGACACUGCAUGGUGACCAUAUUAAAAGUGCCAAGGCACUGGUAGAGGAUGGACUUAUGGCGCAUUAGCUGGUUGGUGAGGUAACGGCUCACCAAGGCGACGAUGCGUAGCCGACCUGAGAGGGUGACCGGCCACACUGGGACUGAGACACGGCCCAGACUCCUACGGGAGGCAGCAGUAGGGAAUUUUCGGCAAUGGGGGGGAACCCUGACCGAGCAACGCCGCGUGAAGGAAGAAGGAAUUCGUUCUGUAAACUUCUGUUAUAAAGGAAGAACGGCGGAUAUAGGGAAUGAUAUCCGAGUGACGGUACUUUAUGAGAAAGCCACGGCUAACUACGUGCCAGCAGCCGCGGUAAUACGUAGGUGGCGAGCGUUAUCCGGAAUUAUUGGGCGUAAAGAGGGAGCAGGCGGCGGCAGAGGUCUGUGGUGAAAGACUGAAGCUUAACUUCAGUAAGCCAUAGAAACCGGGCUGCUAGAGUGCAGGAGAGGAUCGUGGAAUUCCAUGUGUAGCGGUGAAAUGCGUAGAUAUAUGGAGGAACACCAGUGGCGAAGGCGACGGUCUGGCCUGUAACUGACGCUCAUUCCCGAAAGCGUGGGGAGCAAAUAGGAUUAGAUACCCUAGUAGUCCACGCCGUAAACGAUGAGUACUAAGUGUUGGGAGUCAAAUUUCAGUGCUGCAGUUAACGCAAUAAGUACUCCGCCUGAGUAGUACGUUCGCAAGAAUGAAACUCAAAGGAAUUGACGGGGGCCCGCACAAGCGGUGGAGCAUGUGGUUUAAUUCGAAGCAACGCGAAGAACCUUACCAGGUCUUGACAUCCGGAUAAAGACCUCAGAGAUGAGGGGAUAGAUAUAUCCGAGACAGGUGGUGCAUGGUUGUCGUCAGCUCGUGUCGUGAGAUGUUGGGUUAAGUCCCGCAACGAGCGCAACCCUUGUCGCUAGUUACCAUCAUUAAGUUGGGGACUCUAGCGAGACUGCCAGUGACAAGCUGGAGGAAGGCGGGGAUGACGUCAAAUCAUCAUGCCCCUUAUGACCUGGGCUACACACGUGCUACAAUGGAUGGAGCAGAGGGAAGCGAAGCCGCGAGGUGAAGCAAAACCCAUAAAACCAUUCUCAGUUCGGAUUGUAGUCUGCAACUCGACUACAUGAAGUUGGAAUCGCUAGUAAUCGCGAAUCAGCAUGUCGCGGUGAAUACGUUCUCGGGCCUUGUACACACCGCCCGUCACACCAUGAGAGUUGAUAACACCCGAAGCCGGUGGCCUAACCGCAAGGAGGGAGCUGUCUAAGGUGGGAUUGAUGAUUGGGGUG
rnacentral:rRNA from 1 species